CAGUCGAACGAUGAUCCGGUGCUUGCACCGGGGAUUAGUGGCGAACGGGUGAGUAACACGUGAGUAACCUGCCCUUGACUCUGGGAUAAGCCUGGGAAACCGGGUCUAAUACCGGAUACGACCUUUCACCGCAUGGUGGUUGGUGGUUAAAAGAUUUUUUGGUUUUGGAUGGACUCGCUAUCAGCUUGUUGGUGAGGUAAUGGCUCACCAAGGCGACGACGGGUAGCCGGCCUGAGAGGGUGACCGGCCACACUGGGACUGAGACACGGCCCAGACUCCUACGGGAGGCAGCAGUGGGGAAUAUUGCACAAUGGGCGAAAGCCUGAUGCAGCGACGCCGCGUGAGGGAUGACGGCCUUCGGGUUGUAAACCUCUUUCAGCAGGGAAGAAGCGAAAGUGACGGUACCUGCAGAAGAAGCGCCGGCUAACUACGUGCCAGCAGCCGCGGUAAUACGUAGGGCGCAAGCGUUGUCCGGAAUUAUUGGGCGUAAAGAGCUCGUAGGCGGUUUGUCGCGUCUGCUGUGAAAGCCCGGGGCUCAACCCCGGGUCUGCAGUGGGUACGGGCAGACUAGAGUGCAGUAGGGGAGACUGGAAUUCCUGGUGUAGCGGUGAAAUGCGCAGAUAUCAGGAGGAACACCGAUGGCGAAGGCAGGUCUCUGGGCUGUAACUGACGCUGAGGAGCGAAAGCAUGGGGAGCGAACAGGAUUAGAUACCCUGGUAGUCCAUGCCGUAAACGUUGGGCACUAGGUGUGGGGGACAUUCCACGUUUUCCGCGCCGUAGCUAACGCAUUAAGUGCCCCGCCUGGGGAGUACGGCCGCAAGGCUAAAACUCAAAGGAAUUGACGGGGGCCCGCACAAGCGGCGGAGCAUGCUUUCCCUUCGGGGCUGGUUUACAGGUGGUGCAUGGUUGUCGAUUCAGCUCGUGUCGUGAGAUGUUGGGUUAAGUCCCGCAACGAGCGCAACCCUCGUUCUAUGUUGCCAGCGCGUUAUGGCGGGGACUCAUAGGAGACUGCCGGGGUCAACUCGGAGGAAGGUGGGGACGACGUCAAAUCAUCAUGCCCCUUAUGUCUUGGGCUUCACGCAUGCUACAAUGGCCGGUACAAAGGGUUGCGAUACUGUGAGGUGGAGCUAAUCCCAAAAAGCCGGUCUCAGUUCGGAUUGAGGUCUGCAACUCGACCUCAUGAAGUCGGAGUCGCUAGUAAUCGCAGAUCAGCAACGCUGCGGUGAAUACGUUCCCGGGCCUUGUACACACCGCCCGUCAAGUCACGAAAGUUGGUAACCGAAGCCGGUGGCCUAACCCCUUCGUGGGAGGGAGCCGUCGAAGGUGGGACCGGCGAUGGA
rnacentral:rRNA from 1 species